CACACGAAAAAUAGGUGGAGCAAAUUGUGAUAGCGAAAGGGAGAGAAAUAGAAUAAAAUUGAUACUUCUCUUUCUUCUAAUUUAAAACUGUGGAAAAUAGAGAGAUACAAAAUAGUGCAAAUAUUGCUGUACACAAACUCUUAAUAAAAUAUGUGUCAAAUACACUCACAAUGAAAGAGCCAUAUAGUAUAACCUGGCUCUGGUGUGGAUUUCCUCUGGGAUCUUAAUAGGGUGAUCCCCAGACCUCUUUGAUGCUUGUUGUAAUCAGUCUCCCCUCAAUGAUGAACCGUGGGAGGUGUUUUCCAAGCAAAAAAAUAUUUAUUAAAUAAAAUAAGUAAUAGUAAUACAGAAAAUAAAACCUUAUAAUGUCCAAUGUGCUUGCCAAAACGCGUUUCGCCAAUGUGGCUUCCUCAGUUGGCAUAUGAUGAUAGUGUCCUCUUAGUUCUUUAAAUCUUCUCAAAAUUCGCGGUCAAACUUCUGGUGGAACGCAUAUGCGUUCCACCCAGUACUUCCGGGUUCCGUCCCCUUAGUGGCGCCCAUGUCACUUCCGGUUUCGAUGGUGCUUCAGAGUG